CAAACCAUAGUUUUAAAUGCCAAAUAGCGGCAGUCCUUCAAAUCAGGUAUAGCUUGCUAUUUUGUAACUUUACCAGACAAUUGUACAUGAAUACCAUUUAGUGGCACCCUGCUCAAAUUGCUAUUUAAAAUUUAGUCUUCUGGGCAACCAAUGCUAUUGAAUUCAUGCUCUAGCAAAUUCAUCCAAAAGUCCGAACUGACGGGCAAUAUAUUUCAACAACAUCCAACAAUUUCGUCCCGCGAUUUUUCAUUGAAAUGUGAAAAUAUGUUUCCCGGAUGAUAGGUUUCAGGGGAUGACCUGAUCGCAGGUGCAAGUCUAACUGGCCAACAGGUUGAAUACUGACUUCCGGGCAAGCGAUGCUCUUGGUACUCCUUAUCUUAUAGAAGGUGUGCUUGCUACACCCAGUUUUUCUAAUUUCCCAAUAUAUGCGGUGUGCUAGAUCAUUGAUUAUCCAAUCACUUCUCCAUUAUGCAUUAUUGGGUUGAUAUGUUGGUGUUUGAACUUCCUCAGAUGAAGUUGGUCAGGCAACCUAUUCAACUUACCAUGAUCAGACUGCCAUCUUCAGCGGAUUACCUUCAACUGAUGUGCGUGCUUUCUUUUGAACAAGUCAUGGGAAUUAGUUUACUCUUCAGAACAGAACAAUUAUCUUUGCUCAGGCCAAUAAUGUAUCCGUCUACAGCAAUCACAAUGCUUUAGAUUUUUUUUCUUCAUUUGUUAUGCCAUGAUGACGUUUGUUCUUGCAGUUCCAGGAAUGGCCACUAGUAGAAGAAUCACAUGUGGCAGACCAGGCGCCUUUAUACUCGCUUGCACCGGUAUGCGUUGUUUGAUACCCAUGAUGACCAGUGAUAACUUCUGUUGACAUGAGCUCAGCUGCUAAAUUAUGGGACGUGUGUUACUAUAUUCCAAAUGUCUCUUUCCAUUUCAAAAUAAGAUGAUAGCAAAUUGAUGUUUACCAUCAUAAUCGUACCAAACUGUUCAAACCCCGACUGCUUAAAGCAAUGCGGACGAAUUCCAACAUCUCAUGGUUAAAUUUCAGCAAUCCAGACCUUGCUCUACUAGACUAAACAAGAUGGUGGCAACCGGUGAUUUAAGUAUGGGAUUCAGCGUGGCAAAGUUUGUGUAGUGUUUCUGAGUAGCAACGCAGAUCUUUCAUAUUGCUCCAUGUGGACCAAUGGACCAUGUAUGUUAAGUUUGCUAGUAGACAUUUGGCUUGUACGUAUUCUUAUAAAAAUAUCGCACAUUUUCACUCAUAAUAUGCUGUGCAUCAUGAAAUUGUUCUCAACAAUUUGAACAAUGGUAAAAUACACAAAUGUGAAGA